AUGAUCAGAGGAGCUGGGCUCCUUGCGAGCUCAACCUAUUCUCAAACUUUCAAUGGGUGAGACGUCUCGCUGGCUUCAAUGCAGCGACGACUCUGAAUCCGAGUGCCCAGUGGGCCACUUUUGGUAAGCAGAACUGGCGAUGCGGGAUGAACCGCAUGUCGAGUUAAGGUGCCUAAGCGGACGCAAAUCAGAUACCAUGAAAGGUGUUGAUUGCUCACGACAGCAGGACGGUGGCCAUGGAAGUCGGCAUCCGCUAAGGAGUGUGUAACAACUCACCUGCCGAAGCAAUCAGCCCUGAAAAUGGAUGGCGCUAAAGCGUUCCACCGAUACUCGACCGUCGUCGGCACGCGACCGGCCUUCCCAGUGCCGGUCUCAGGCCACGACGAGUAGGGCGGCGCGGCGGUGAGCGUCGAAGGCGUAGCCGUGAGGCUAGCUGGAGCCGCCGUCGGUGCAGAUCUUGGUGGUAGUAGCAAAUACACAAGCAAGAUCCUUGUGGACCGAUGUGGAGAAGGGUUCCGCGCGAACAGUACUUGGACGUGGGUGAGUCGGCCCUAAGCCAACGGGUAAUUCCCGCAUCCCGC
rnacentral:rRNA from 2 species